rnacentral:lncRNA from 1 species
CUUCUUUAGGAUGAGUCACACACUUUUCCUCUUUUUUAAUUCUGCAGAGACUUGGCACCUCUGUGUGAUGAAAUCCAUAUACUGGCUGUGGUUACAGGGCUGAGCAAAACACAGAGCAGAUGAAGAGAUACAGAGAUGUAGAUCAUGGGGCCUUAUUGCUCUGGAAGGCUCCAUUAAGAAAACAAGAGGCCAUACCCUAUGGAGCUGCUGCUUCCAUAAGGAACUUCAAAAAGGAAAAAAGCUCAACAAAAUGGAAGCAAUCUUACUCUGCAGAUGGAAUAGCCACUGACAAAACUGUCUUUGUACCUGGUGGAAAUCAACCAGUCAAUUUUUACCACUGUUUUUACCACAGUCUUUGCUAAAUGAUUUUCCCAUUAAUUAAUUGAUAGCUGUAGAUAUACGUGGGUUUAAUUUCACAGUUUGGUUUGCUUUGUUUUGUGUAGGGAGCCUCUGGUAUUUUUAAGGACUACAGUAGCUGGCAGCAUCUUGUGAAAGCCAGUUGCUGAAGGACAGCGCUGCUCCAGUGGUGCUGCGUGUGCCGGGGCAGACAGACGGUUUCCAGAUUGAGACUGCACGCAGCAGUGCAAAGCAAGCCCUGCUCUCAUGCCUGGAGAGCUCCUUGGAAAGCACAGGGAAGACGUGGCGCACUGAGACCACGGGAAGAGCAGCCACCUUGUCCCAGUGAGAUGUGGAGCACUGUGGGGACUCAUCUCCUUGCAAGAGGAGGGGUGGCAGCUGCCCUUUUGAGACAGCAACAGCACCAGAACGAGCUGCUCUCCUAACCAGCUGAGGUCCUUCCUGUGGCACUGAGGACAGCCAGCCUGGUGGCCUUGGUGGUCUGCUGGGGUGGAGCAGGCAGUGGGUCUGCAGUUCUUUGUGUGACCUUAGAAAUAUCUGGCUGGGUAGGUAUUAGAAAUAUCAGCCUUAGAAAUAGGCUGGGUGAGCCUUACCGAGGGUUGUGAGGGACGUCAGCAUGAAGGGUGCAGCUGAGCUGAAACCACAGAGGAUCCACUUCAGUGUCUUCCUUUCAUGGCUCUGUUCACAUGUGAAAUGAGUGAUGUGGAGGUUUGAGAAAGAACAGACCAUAGAUAAAAGCAACAAUCAAUCUUACAGGGUCUUUAAAGGAAGGCAAGAAUACGUACCCCAUGCAGAGGAAAAUUACCUAUGUAAGAUACUUUCCAAGAACAAAUGAGGGAUGAUUUCUUCCAUCACUGACAUCAGUUACACAUAUGUGGAUAAACAUCACAGUGAGCAGCAGCCCUCCUGUAAUGCACAAGGCCACUGGAAAAAGUAAACUUGUGGGUGACACUUCCAAGCAUUCAGUUAGGGUUUGUUCUCCAAACAUACCUAAAUGAAGCAUCU